rnacentral:lncRNA from 1 species
AUUUAACAGCCUUGGCGGUCUCAGUGGGAUACCUUGAUGAAGGUACUCGCGAGAAUGAUUCUAGCAGGGGCCAAGUUUAAGAAAUUCAUAAGCCGGGAAAUUUUGAUGAAAAGAAAUUAUUUGGUAUAGAUUGAAACGAAUUUUGUGUUAUGAACAUUAUUGAGAUAUAACGUUUUUAUAUUGUCUCCAUCUACUCGACUUUAGAUGCUUUUGAUGGUAAUUGUUUACUCACUGGG